rnacentral:rRNA from 1 species
UGGGGAAUUUUUCGCAAUGGGCGAAAGCCUGACCCAGCAACGCCGCGUGAAGGAUGAAGUAUUUCGGUAUGUAAACUUCGAAAGAAUAGGAAGAAUAAAUGACGGUACUAUUUAUAAGGUCCGGCUAACUACGUGCCAGCAGCCGCGGUAAUACGUAGGGACCAAGCGUUGUUCGGAUUUACUGGGCGUAAAGGGCGCGUAGGCGGCAAUUCAAGUCAUCUGUGAAAUCUCCGGGCUUAACUCGGAACGGUCAGAUGAUACUGCUUUGCUAGAGUGCAGAAGGGGCAAUCGGAAUUCUUGGUGUAGCGGUGAAAUGCGUAGAUAUCAAGAGGAACACCUGAGGUGAAGACGGGUUGCUGGGCUGACACUGACGCUGAGGCGCGAAAGCCAGGGGAGCAAACAGGAUUAGAUACCCACGUAGUCCCUGAGCGGGCUGGCAAGGCGCAU